UACGGAGGGUGCGAGCGUUAAUCGGAAUUACUGGGCGUAAAGCGCAUGCAGGUGGUUCAUUAAGUCGGAUGUGAAAGCCCCGGGCUCAACCUGGGAAUUGCAUUCGAUACUGGCAAGCUAGAGUAUGUGAGAGGGGGGUAGAAUUCCAAGUGUAGCGGUGAAAUGCGUAGAGAUUUGAAGGAAUACCAGUGGCGAAGGCGGCCCCCUGGCACACUACUGACGCUCAGGUGCGAAAGCGUGGGGAGCAAACAGG
rnacentral:rRNA from 1 species